rnacentral:lncRNA from 12 species
CUCAGGGGAGGUCCUGACUUAUCCCUACUUCCACAGAGGUCCUCAAGAGAUUGGACAACAUGCUGCUGCUAAAAAGGCUAUGAACUAGGAGGAUCUUCAGGGUGAACGGAACUCUCUAGCACCUGAGUUCACUGCUACUAAACCUGAGGUGGCAGCCAGGUGUGCAGGGACGCUGCUGUCCGUGCUUGCCAGUGGCGCCCUACGCGAGACUGGAGCUUGCCGCCCGCCCCCUCACUGAAGACUGGUCUGCAGACCCCACUGCUCAUGCCGCUGAAUGAACAGCCACCGAGUGGUCUUCAGCUGUUUUUCCAUGGGCUCUUAAAUAGAAAAUGGAAAUAUGAAGGUGACAGAAAAGAAAGUUUCUAAAAAAUGAACUUCGUCUAGGGAUAAAGAAAAAAUGCCACUUACUACUCUAGAGGAGCUAUUUACUCUACUGUAAAUAAUUACAGUGGAGCCUGGUAAAGGUAUGAUAAUAAGACAUACUAGUUUAGGUUUUCUUGGUAGCAAAUAACAAAAGCUAAAUCAAAGUUGGACUCAUGAAACCCAAUGGCAGAGAUAUAACCAGACUCAGGAAAGGUCUAGGAAGCAGCUAAAUUGAUUUAUAAUAAUCCAGUGCUUUUCAACAGUGUCUUCCUAAGCAAACAUUCAGGAUCUUGUCUGGAGAUUCACAAUAAACUCUUCUGUUGCUAUUUGGAAUGAAUACA